rnacentral:rRNA from 1 species
CAUACUACCGAAGCUAUGGAUCCCAAGGGAUGGUAGGGGAGCGUUCCAUGAACGGAGAAGUACGACCGAAAGGACGUGUGGAGAUCAUGGAAGAGAGAAUGCCGGUGUGAGUAGCGGAACGUGGGUGAGAAUCCCACGCACCGAAAACCCAAGGUUUCCAGAGGAAGGUUCGUCCGCUCUGGGUAAGUCGGGACCUAAGGCGAGGCCGAAAGGCGUAGUCGAUGGACAACAGGUAGAGAUUCCUGUACCCGUAUAUAUGUGAAGGAAUGACGGAGAGAGGAAGCUGCAGCCAGCGGCUGGAAGAGCUGGUGCAAGCGAGAUAUCGGGAUGGCAGGCAAAUCCACCAUCCGAAACGAGAAGGCGUGAAGCGUACGGAAAGCUACGGCGAGUACGGAAGGCAGUGGAGGAACUUCCAAGAAAAGUUUCUAACGUUAAGUAUAUAUGGCCCGUACCGAAAAUGGACACACAUGGGUGAGGAGAGAAUCCUAAGGUGAGCGAGAGAACUAUAGCUAAGGAACUCUGCAAAAUGACUCCGUAACUUAGGGAGAAGGAGUGCUCAUAGAGAUAUGAGCCGCAGUGAAACGGCCCAAGCGACUGUUUACCAAAAACACAGCUCUCUGCUAAGCCGCAAGGCGAAGUAUAGGGGGUGACGCCUGCCCGGUGCUGGAAGGUUAAGGGGAGGGGUUAACGCAAGUGAAGCCCUGAACUGAAGCCCCAGUAAACGGCGGCCGUAACUAUAACGGUCCUAAGGUAGCGAAAUUCCUUGUCAGGUAAGUUCUGACCCGCACGAAAGGCGUAACGAUUUGGGCGCUGUCUCAGCUGUAGACUCGGUGAAGUCUUAGUACCUGUGAAGAUGCAGGUUACCCGCGACUAGACGGAAAGACCCCAUGGAGCUUCACUGCAGGUUGAUAUUGGGAUUUGAUGCAGCAUGUACAGGAUAGGUAGGAGGCAAAGAGAUGGAUACGCCAGUAUUCAAGGAGCCGCUGUUGGGAUACUACCCCUGUUGUAUUGGAUUUCUAACCGGACGACGUAGAGCCGUUGACGGGACAGUGUCAGUCGGGCAGUUUGACUGGGGCGGUCGCCUCCCAAAGAGUAACGGAGGCGCCCAAAGAUACCCUCAGCUUGGAUGGAAACCAAGCGCAGAGUGCAAAGGCAAAAGGGUGUUUGACUGCGAGACCCACAAGUCGAGCAGGGACGAAAGUCGGGCUUAGUGAUCCGGCGGUGCUGAAUGGAAAGGCCGUCGCUCAACGGAUAAAAGCUACCCUGGGGAUAACAGGCUGAUCUCCCCCAAGAGUUCACAUCGACGGGGAGGUUUGGCACCUCGAUGUCGGCUCAUCGCAUCCUGGAGCUGAAGUCGGUUCCAAGGGUUGGGCUGUUCGCCCAUUAAAGCGGUACGCGAGCUGGGUUCAGAACGUCGUGAGACAGUUCGGUCCCUAUCUGUCGUGGGCGCAGGAAAUUUGAGAAGAGCUGUCCUCAGUACGAGAGGACCGGGAUGGACGCAUCAAUGGUGGACCAGUUGUCACGCCAGUGGCAUAGCUGGGUAGCUAAAUGCGGAAGGGAUAAACGCUGAAGGCAUCUAAGUGUGAAACCCACUU